CAGCCGCCGCGGUAAUACGGAGGGUGCAAGCGUUAAUCGGAAUUACUGGGCGUAAAGCGCACGCAGGCGGUCUGACAAGUCAGAUGUGAAAUCCCCGGGCUUAACCUGGGAACUGCAUUUGAAACUGUCAGGCUGGAGUCUUGUAGAGGGGGGUGGAAUUCCAGGUGUAGCGGUGAAAUGCGUAGAGAUCUGGAGGAAUACCGGUGGCGAAGGCGGCCCCCUGGACAAAGACUGACGCUCAGGUGCGAAAGCGUGGGGAGCAAACAGGAUUAGAGACCCCGGUAGUCCCUGUCUCUUAUAC
rnacentral:rRNA from 1 species